rnacentral:tRNA from 1 species
GGUGGCUCAGUGGUAGAGUGCUUGCCUUGCAUGCAUAAGGCCCUGGGUUCAAUCCCUCAGCACCA